GACGAACGCUGGCGGCGUGCCUAAUACAUGCAAGUCGAACGCUGAAGGAGGAGCUUGCUUCUCUGGAUGAGUUGCGAACGGGUGAGUAACGCGUAGGUAACCUGCCUGGUAGCGGGGGAUAACUAUUGGAAACGAUAGCUAAUACCGCAUAAUAGCAGUUAUUGCAUGAUAACUGUUUGAAAGGUGCAAUUGCACCACUACCAGAUGGACCUGCGUUGUAUUAGCUAGUUGGUGGGGUAACGGCUCACCAAGGCGACGAUACAUAGCCGACCUGAGAGGGUGAUCGGCCAACCUGGGACUGAGACACGGCCCAGACUCCUACGGGAGGCAGCAGUAGGGAAUCUUCGGCAAUGGACGGAAGUCUGACCGAGCAACGCCGCGUGAGUGAAGAAGGUUUUCGGAUCGUAAAGCUCUGUUGUAAGAGAAGAACGAGUGUGAGAGUGGAAAGUUCACACUGUGACGGUAUCUUACCAGAAAGAGACGGCUAACUACGUG
rnacentral:rRNA from 1 species